GUUGCCUCCGGAACAUGCCGUACGCGUAACGUUUUCAAUUAUCUCCGAGUUUUCCAAAUAACGUUGUGUUUAGGAUGCACAUUGGUACAAGCAUGAAAUCGCAUACAUUGUCCAGAGAGUGCCGGAGAUGUAUCACGGCCAAAGAUGUAUAAUUAAAAAUAUUUAGGAGUUGCACACUUCUACCAAGGAAGAGUAACUGUCUAGACAAGAGAAGAUUGGCUGAUGUGAAGAGGAUUCAGAAGUACUAGACGACGCUCCAGAUAAAUAGGUCACGGUAAAUCAUGACAUUUUGUGAAGACAAUUUGUCAAAAGGAACACGUCGUCACUUCGAAACGUAUAAUGAUGUAGAUGUUUUUUAUUUAUAACUACUUGUUUCGAGAAGCUUGAAGUCUGUUUCAUCGGAGGUCAGUGCUCACUCUGGCCCUGCCCAAAGUUUGCAUAACUACCAUGAUGAUGAUUAUUUCACUUAUCUCUAGGCGGCUUCUGUAUUUA